GCCUGCGUAGCGUAAAGGCAACGCGUUGGCCUCCUAAGCCAAAGAUUGCGAGUUCGAUUCUCGUCGUAGGCA